CGAUUGUUUUGUUUUCUGUCAUUUUUAUGUUACAAGUUUUUCACUUACAUUCAGUUAACAAUGUGCAAGAUAUAUUACAAUUUCAUGAAUGAGAUCAAUCAAGAAAUGUAGGUUUUGUGGACCUUAAGUCGUGGCCAUUGUAAAAUCACUUGAACGAGCUGGUAGAUCUUAGAAGGAUAGCAGGAAUGAGUGUUGAGAUCUAAGAAAACAGUGAAAUUCUCUUACUACGUGCUACCAUCAAGCUAGAUAAUAAAGUCAAAUCAAGUUAUAUUUAACCAUCAAUGAUAAAACAGGGUGGAUCUUUCCCAUAGGUAUUGUACAAAUUUAUGAAUCAGUGUCCGACCCUUGGUUUAGGUUUAGUGGAUUUUAGUGGAGUAUAACAUUUUAGGGUUCUUUUGCCACAAUUGUAUAUUAUUAUCUUUCUAAUGAUUCUUUUAUUUCUUACUAGACCUCCAGGUAAAAUACUUAAACUUUAUUCUGGUUGCUAUUUUUAUGACAAGCAAUGACACAGUGUUAUUGUGAUUUGUGAGUGUUGACUUUGCUUGAAUUCGGAAUUCAGAGACCAAGUGUGAUGCUGUUUAAGCAUGCACUAUGUAUUGAAUAUGAAAAAAGAGAUCGAAAACCUAACGCAGAUGGCAGAAGCCUCUACUAAACAAGUCAGCUGAAAAUAGUAUGGAGUUUGUGUUUGGAUUGAUGCUGCAAGGAUGUCUCUUUCUUCCCUCCGAUUGUGUGUGUUUGUUUGCAACUCUGCAAUGGAUCUUUGAGCGGAAUGAUUCCGGAAAGGAUGUGUCUCGUUGCGCCCAACAAAAUAACAGAACUCGGUAGAAUAGAAGAGAAACAGAAAGAUUCCAGGCAUCCAGGCUGGUUUUGCGCUGUAUAGUUUCCUUAAAAAUCGUCCCCCCUCCUCAAACUCCGGCUAGUCUUUCUUUUGUUGGCUAUGUUAAGGUCUUCCUUCCAGCGGCAGAGAAUCCGUAGUGCGCGGCGGCGUAAGCGACGGCCGGGGGAAGAAGAAGAAGAAAAAAGGGCCUUACUCUUUUUCUCUCUAUUUCUUCAUUUUCUAUUUCUUCUUCUUUUUCCCGAAUAGGAAAUGAGGAGUUUUCCCCCGAUGAAAGCUGCACAACGGUCGGAGCGCUAGACGCGCGGCCCGAUCCGUCUUUGUCAGAGCUCCAGCUCACUCUCUCACGUUGACCUUUUCCGAAGGGGCCACAGGGCAACCAGCUCUCCAGCAGCUCUAGAGCACAGUGCAUAUAGAAAAGAGAUACAGCACACAAGCAGCCAGACCUUCUUUUUCUUUCCCCUUCUCUUCUCUAUACACUUGGAUAUAUGUGUGUGUGUGGAUUCACUGUAUAGCUUUCCCCUCUUAUGCAGCAGCAGUCAACGAGUAAAAGUAUCAAAAGCUCGGCUGGAUGGAUGGAUGGAUGGGCCGACCUACACUUACUACGCUAAAGGAGGGGGGAAAUCGACCACGGAGAUCUCCCGACUGAGGAAACGAGGGACGACAGUUGCGGACGCAGACAGCCGGCCGAUUUUGACGUUUCUAUUCCACCCAAAAUGUCGAAAUGAAUACGACGGAUGGCCUUGUUUCGAUCCACACCUCCCAGACUUUACAGGUUUUUAUUAAGUUUUUAUACACACACGACGAGAAUAAAGUUUGAUCGUCAUCAACUUACGGUCGAUUUCGUCUAAAAUGGUGGAGGGAAUCGCCGCAGGAGCCGAGUGAACACAACAACAACAGCCAGAAGAAGACGGGAAAACAAAACAAAAAAAAAGAAUACGGGGAAACCCAUUUUGGUUUUUAAAAGAGUCGAGCAUUGUAAUUAUCCAAACUCGAGGCAGCUAGGUAAAAAACACGUAUUAAAAAAUUUUCUUUUUCCUCCCCUCCGUCAAAUUCGACAAAAAGAAGAAAAGAGAGAGAAAAACCAAAAGGCUUCUGGCACUCUUUUUCAACACAGAGUGCUUGUAUGUAUGUAUACAAUAUAUAUACACAGAGAGAAAGAGAGAGACUCCAUGAAUACUUGUUUCGAGGCCACGACGAUAUAGGAUGACCGUUUGCAAUCAUGGGCCUUCACCGCCAUGAUGGAUCACCAACCAACCAAGCCAACCACCACCACACGGAGCACACAGCAAAGUUCCUUCUUCUUCUUCUUCUUUUUUCCCUGCUCUUUUGGUUCCUUCUUCAACACAAAAACGGCGAUGAAAUUUCUUCUUCUUUUCUGUUGUGCUGUGUAUUAUUUUCUCCCGCAUUUCUAAGAAUGUUAAACCUAUUGGGAAGAGAAAAUAUCCGAAAAUUCUUCCCUCAGAACCUGACAGCUACUCUCUCUCUCUCCUCCGCCAGGACCACAGCGGAAUCAGACUGACGUGCACAUAGGCGGAUACCUUGGAUGUAUGUCCGGAAGUUGGCGGAAUCCGGAAGCCGCACCCAAUUUUUGUCAACGUCGCAGACAACACACAAAGUCCCCCCUCUACGAAACAAAAAAUGUCAUCAACACUUUUUUUUUCAAUUCCAUUUUCUUACAUACCGAUAAACAUUUAGAUCAGAUUUCAAAGAUUCAUUUUUAACACCUUUCAAAUUAAAUGAAAAGAAGAUUGUCAAGUUCCAUGGCUAAUAAAUGUUGAAAAGUCAGUCAAACACGAA